ACUGCGAACACGUAAUUAACUCCGCGGGCCACGGCAAGGGGGCGACCCCUUGCCGUKUCCUGUCCCCCGCCGGCGUGUUCCCUCGGGUCACGUCGUGCGGGCUAACGAACCCCGGCGCGGAAUGCGCCAAGGAAAACCAAACGAAGCGUCCGCCCCCGGCACCCCGUUCGCGGAGCGUGCCGUGGGACCGGCCGUCUAUCAAAUGUCAAAACGACUCUCGGCAACGGAUAUCUCGGCUCUCGCAUCGAUGAAGAACGUAGCGAAAUGCGAUACUUGGUGUGAAUUGCAGAAUCCCGUGAACCAUCGAGUCUUUGAACGCAAGUUGCGCCCGAAGCCACUAGGCUGAGGGCACGCCUGCCUGGGCGUCACGCAUCGCGUCGCCCCCCAUCCCCGCGCACACAGCCGGGCGGUUGGGGGCGGAGAUUGGCCUCCCGUGCGCCUCGGUGCGCGGCCGGCCCAAAUGCGAUCCCCGGGCGACUGGCGUCACGACAAGUGGUGGUUGAACAUCUCAAUCUCUCCUCGCAGCCGUGCCGCC
rnacentral:rRNA from 1 species